rnacentral:rRNA from 1 species
CCUACGGGGGGCAGCAGUGGGGAAUAUUGGACAAUGGGCGAAAGCCUGAUCCAGCCAUGCCGCGUGUGUGAAGAAGGCCUUCGGGUUGUAAAGUACUUUCAGUGGGGAAGAAAGCCUUGGGGCUAAUACCCUCGAGGAAGGACAUCACCCACAGAAGAAGCACCGGCUAACUCCGUGCCAGCAGCCGCGGUAAUACGGAGGGUGCGAGCGUUAAUCGGAAUUACUGGGCGUAAAGCGCGCGUAGGCGGUCUGAUAAGCCGGUUGUGAAAGCCCCGGGCUCAACCUGGGAACGGCAUCCGGAACUGUCAGGCUAGAGUGCAGGAGAGGAAGGUAGAAUUCCCGGUGUAGCGGUGAAAUGCGUAGAGAUCGGGAGGAAUACCAGUGGCGAAGGCGGCCUUCUGGACUGACACUGACGCUGAGGUGCGAAAGCGUGGGUAGCAAACAGGAUUAGAUACCCCGGUAGUC